rnacentral:lncRNA from 1 species
GGAAAAAACUGUGUUGGAGCAGUUUAGGAGGUGGAGGGAUGAUCACAGAGCAGUUUUGGACAUAUUGAAUCUGAGAGGCCUAAUAACAUCCAAGUUGAGUAGUUAGUUGGAUAUAUAAGCCUGGGAGUCAGGAUAGGUUUGGGCUAGAGACAUAGUUUUGAAACUUGAUGACGAGUAAAUUUUACUUAAAGUUGGGAGACUGGAUGAAAUCACCAGAGGAGUCAAUACCUAAAAAGAAUAAGAGAAGUCCAGGGACUGAGGCCUGGGACAGUGCAACAUUAGGAGAUCAAGAGAAGAGGAGGAAAUGCAAAAGAAGACUGAAAAGCAGUGACUAGUGGGACUCUAUGCUCAGGACAGUGCCUGAGGUCUGGUGGAGCAGGACUUUGAAGGCGCUUUGGGACUUUCACAGGCAGAAAGGAGCAGGAAGUUUCUGGAGCGAGACUGGGCAUCAGGAAACUGAGGAUCAGAGGAUUUGACCAACCCAAAGCCACCCAGCUAGUAAGGAGGAGGGGAGCCCGCAGGGCCUGAAUCCUGACAAGUUGGCUCGAGGGCUCAGGUUCUGGAGCUGAGUCAAUAGCUCCAGCUCUCAGGUCAGCUGCCUGUGUUCCAGUCCUGCCUCUCACAGUUUCUACAAAUUUGGAACAAGUUUGCUGAGCCCUGAAUUUGAUUAUCCGUGAGAUCAUUUCUAGCUCUAAUUUAGAAACGCAACUCCACCAUUUACCAGCUGCAUGACCUUGGGUUAACACAUGGCCUUAUUUGUUUUAAAAGGACACCUUUUUGAGAAUGUGUUUAGAGAAAGACUCUAUUCACCCCGUGAAGAUUUUGAAGCCCCAUCAGGAUCUUAGGGGAGCUCUCUGAAAAGUACAUCAACUAAGCUUCCUCCCCUCGGGAUUCCAGACUGAAGAUAACGACACAGAAAUAGCAUGGAUGCUAAUAACAUACUGUCCAGGCAAAGAAAGGUUAUUCUCUGAAAGAAUUUGGAGAUGGAAGCACAGAGUACAUGAUCACAGCUGGAAUUCAGGCUGAGAGAUCUUAUACAAUGUAAUAUUAGCAGCCACCUUCAGAUCAGGCACACCCCAGCUGUUCACUUUACAGAACUACCUGCUCCUUUUCCUCUCCCUUCCUCUCCAGGAGCUUUCCUUACUUUUUAAAAAGGGCAGAAAUGAAGCCAAAACCUUUUGUGUAAAGAAUAAACACUACAAAACAGAAAGUAAACCCUAAG